rnacentral:lncRNA from 10 species
AAUUCAAGGUCACACAAUGUCGGGGAUGGACCUCCAGAUUUCCUUACUGUACUUAUCCUGUAUUACAUGAAGGAAAUGAAAUAAAAAGACUGCAGCCCCACUCCCAGCUACUCAGUGAGGUGGUAGCUAGGUGAGACGUGGUCUUGUAACACAGUGGUUAAGAAUGUGACUUUGGAGCCAGCCUGCUAGGGGCUGAAUUCUGACUCAGCCAUUUACUAACUGUGUGACCUUAGGGAGGAGGACCUGGUUGAUAGAAGAAUUUAUCUCGUAGUCUUAACAUCCACUGUAAUUCCAAACUUUGAGGACGAUAGAGAUCAGUGGGCUUUGACUGCCCAGCAUGCAGUCUCCAUUCUUAGGUGGAGUCUCACUCUGUAGCCCAAGCUGGAGUGGCGUGAUCUCGACUCACUGCAACCUCCGCCUCCUGGGAUCAAGUGAUUCUCGUGCCUCAGCCUCCUGAGUAGCCGGGACUACAGGUCACAGAAUUUUCCACACUCCUUGACAGAGGUGCUUAACCCUUAUCCAUCAGCAUUCUCAGACAGCACCUCCGGUUAGGGACAGUAUCUGACCGUCCGACAUCCCUGCAGCCCCCAUGUGUCACACAGACUCAGCCUCAGGUAGAUGGUUUCCGUAGAUGGUGGCUUUCUUUGGACCCUUGACAUCAACCAGUUACUAUUUGCCAGAGACAGACUCCCAG